AUUGAACGCUGGCGGCAGGCUUAACACAUGCAAGUCGAGCGGGGUGAUGGUGCUUGCACUAUCACUUAGCGGCGGACGGGUGAGUAAUACUUAGGAAUCUGCCUAUUAGUGGGGGACAACAUUUCGAAAGGGAUGCUAAUACCGCAUACGCCCUACGGGGGAAAGCAGGGGAUCACUUGUGACCUUGCGCUAAUAGAUGAGCCUAAGUCGGAUUAGCUAGUUGGUGGGGUAAAGGCCUACCAAGGCGACGAUCUGUAGCGGGUCUGAGAGGAUGAUCCGCCACACUGGGACUGAGACACGGCCCAGACUCCUACGGGAGGCAGCAGUGGGGAAUAUUGGACAAUGGGGGGAACCCUGAUCCAGCCAUGCCGCGUGUGUGAAGAAGGCCUUAUGGUUGUAAAGCACUUUAAGCGAGGAGGAGGCUUACCUAGCUAAUAUCUAGGCUAAGUGGACGUUACUCGCAGAAUAAGCACCGGCUAACUCUGUGCCAGCAGCCGCAGUAAUAC
rnacentral:rRNA from 1 species